UACAGAGGGUGCGAGCGUUAAUCGGAAUUACUGGGCGUAAAGCGCACGUAGGCGGCUUGGUAUGUCGGGUGUGAAAUCCCCGGGCUCAACCUGGGAACUGCAUCCGAAACUGCCUUGCUCGAGUAUGGGAGAGGGAAGUGGAAUUUCCGGCGUAGCGGUGAAAUGCGUAGAUAUCGGAAGGAACAUCAGUGGCGAUGGCGACUUCCUGGACCAAUACUGACGCUCAGGUGCGAAAGCGUGGGGAGCAAACAGG
rnacentral:rRNA from 1 species